GUCGAACGGCAGCAUAGAGAGCUUGCUCUCUGAUGGCGAGUGGCGAACGGGUGAGUAAUAUAUCGGAACGUGCCCAGUAAUGGGGAAUAACUAACUGAAAGGUUAGCUAAUACCGCAUACGACCUACGGGUGAAAGCAGGGGAUCUUAGGACCUUGCGUUAUUGGAGCGGCCGAUAUCUGAUUAGCUUGUUGGUGGGGUAAAAGCCUACCAAGGCAACGAUCAGUAGCUGGUCUGAGAGGACGAUCAGCCACACUGGAACUGAGACACGGUCCAGACUCCUACGGGAGGCAGCAGUGGGGAAUUUUGGACAAUGGGGGAAACCCUGAUCCAGCCAUCCCGCGUGAGUGAAGAAGGCCUUCGGGUUGUAAAGCUCUUUCGAAAGUGAAGAAAACUUAUUUCGUAAUAUGUUAUAAGUAUGACGGUAACUUUAGAAGAAGCACCGGCUAACUACGUGCCAGCAGCCGCGGUAAUACGUAGGGUGCGAGCGUUAAUCGGAAUUACUGGGCGUAAGGCGUGCGCAGGCGGUUUUGUAAGUCAGAUGUGAAAUCCCCGAGCUUAACUUGGGAACUGCGUUUGAAACUACAAGACUAGAGUGUGUCAGAGGGGGGUAGAAUUCCACGUGUAGCAGUGAAAUGCGUAGAGAUGUGGAGGAAUACCAAUGGCGAAGGCAGCCCCCUGGGAUAACACUGACGCUCAUGCACGAAAGCGUGGGGAGCGAACAGGAUUAGAUACCCUGGUAGA
rnacentral:rRNA from 1 species